rnacentral:lncRNA from 1 species
AGGAAAGAUGAUGAACUAGGAGGAGUGUGAAAUGUGGUUUAAUUUAAAGAACUACUUUUCUUAUUUCCAAACAUAUAUUCACAAAGAAAUUAAAAUAUAUACACACUAAAAUUCAUUUUUGUCUCUGCAUGUUUGCUUUCUACUCUUUAUAGUAACAUUUUAUUGCCAAGAAAAAUCUAAAUACUAUAAUUUUUUUCUCUUUUUUAAAAGUAAUACAUUGUUUGCUCUCUACAAUUUCCCAACAUCAUUGACUACAUUAAUGAAGCCUAAAUCUAGCAUCGUCUGGACACCAUAAUUGGCAUUACAGUUUUAUUCAGAUAAUGAUUCUUGCUUAUCAUGAGUUCAGAGAUUACUAGAGAAAAGAGCUGGGAUCAGUGUAACAUUCUGUAAAGCAAUAUGAACCUAGAUUAGUGACAUUGCACAUUAGGCCUUUGUUUUCCUUUGGGUUUCUGUGUGUGGUGACAGGAAGGCCCUCACCACUGCUGAAGAGGCCCUCCCAGGCCUGGCUGGGAGAAGACAGAACGGAACCUAACAGCCAUGUUCUCCUGCAAGUUGAGUCACUGCUUAGUGUGCCCCCAACUAACAAGCAUCUUCUCAGCCCAUUUGUGAAGAGCACUCAUCACACCUGCAAAACAAGUUCCAGGCAAAAGAGAUCCUCUCACCCCUUCCUGCUGAAGCGGAUAAAGCUGCCAGCCUUCAAGACUUGUUUCUGACCACCUGGGAACCUGACACAAGAGGUAGAGAGAAGUUAUUCUGCGAUCUGCAACUAGAACAAAACUAGGCAAGCUGUUUAAGACUAGCAAAACAUCUACUGGCUUUCCACACCUUCUCUCAGAAGCUGAAAUUCAAACUUAUAAUACUUAGAUAUAAAGGAGAGUCAAAGAUAACUUCUGUUAUCUACAACUACAUUGUUCCUAUGAAUGUCUUUCUUCAGUCUAAAGGACUUUCUACAACUACAGUCUCAUGAUUUGUCUUUUUUUCAGUUUUGAUUCUCCAAAAAGUCUUUAGGAGUCACAUAUUUCCUCAGAAUAAAUCUGGCAACUUUUUAUACA